ACGAACGCUGGCGGCGUGCCUAACACAUGCAAGUCGAACGGAGAGCUAUAACGAUUUUCUUCGGAAAUGAGAUAUAGUUUCUUAGUGGCGGACGGGUGAGUAACGCGUGAGGAACCUGCCUUUCAGUGGGGGACAACAGUUGGAAACGACUGCUAAUACCGCAUAAUGUAGCGAGACCGCAUGAUCUUGCUACCAAAGCUUUAUGUGCUGAAAGAUGGCCUCGCGUCUGAUUAGCUAGUUGGUGGGGUAACGGCCCACCAAGGCGACGAUCAGUAGCCGGUCUGAGAGGAUGAACGGCCACAUUGGGACUGAGAUACGGCCCAGACUCCUACGGGAGGCAGCAGUGAGGAAUAUUGCACAAUGGGCGCAAGCCUGAUGCAGCAACGCCGCGUGAGGGAAGACGGUCUUCGGAUUGUAAACCUCUGUCCUUGGUGAAGAAUAAAUGACGGUAGCCUUGGAGGAAGCCACGGCUAACUACGUG
rnacentral:rRNA from 1 species